GUUUUAGGCCUGGGUUGCAGUCAUGGUGGUUUUGAAUCACAUGGGACAAGUGGUCCUGCUGUCAACCAUCCUCUUCAGCCUCACAGCCUCACUACCUCCAUGGGAAAGGGAUGAAGAUGAUGUCAAGGGGCUUUUAAGAAGCAAGUUUGGCCGUCUAAACACACAAUCACUAUUGGCCAGGAAUGACUUGGAUGCUGUCAUUGAAGCAACGUUAAG